GGACAAAAUUUAUUGAAACCUUACGGGGGCACAAAUCUAACAGAAGAAAAGAAGAUAUUUAAUUACAGGUUGUCCAGGGCCCGCCGUGUAGUUGAAAAUGCUUUCGGCAUAUUGGCGAACCGCUUCCGGUGUUUUCACACAGUUAUUAAUGCAUCGCCAGAGAGGGUGACUGCCAUCGUGAAUGCGGCAUGUGUGCUGCACAAUUUCCUUGGCAGUGAUAUGAGCAGUGCGCCAGACUCAUGUGCCGAAACAAGCCCAGCAGUGUCAAUGCUAUCCGGGCCAGCAGCAUCGCGUGGUAGAAUUGGUGCUGUUGGUGCGGCAUUGCGUGAUAAGCUGUGCUGUUUCUUUAACGACAAGGGUGCCGUACCAUGGCAGCGGCAGUCUGCCCACUUGGAUGUGAACAUCUACAGGAGACCCCGGCAGUAAACACAAGUGCCAGCAUUGAAAUAAAGUGUACAUUUAUUUGCAAACGUAUAUUAUUAAAGAUCCAUGUAACUAUC